rnacentral:rRNA from 1 species
UACGGGGGGAGCAAGCGUUGUUCGGAUUUACUGGGCGUAAAGGGCUUGUAGGUGGCCAACUAAGUCAGACGUGAAAUCCCUCGGCUUAACCGGGGAACUGCGUCUGAUACUGGAUGGCUAGAGUGUGGGAGAGGGAUGCGGAAUUCCAGGUGUAGCGGUGAAAUGCGUAGAUAUCUGGAGGAACACCGGUGGCGAAGGCGGCAUCCUGGACCACGACUGACACUGAAAAGCGAAAGCCAGGGGAGCAAACGGG